rnacentral:lncRNA from 1 species
GAAAGACCCAGUCGAUCUGACGGUUCGUCCAGUUGAACCAGUAAUGCCGGCCAGCUUUCCUUGCUCCAGCUGGGCUCUUAGCCAGGCCCCCGUGUGCAAGGGAAGGCAGGCUGGGAGCAAUCCGGGCAAGCAGGCAGUGGGGCUCCACCCUGCUUCUACGGGAGGCCCCACCUAGAAGGGGCUGCAGCCCGCUUUCUCCUCCUUGCUGGCUGACACCGUGGCAAGGCAAGGGUUACGCUCCAAGCCAAGGAGAAGUUCAAGGGGAAGUUGCAAUAGAUUUCAGCACGGCGAGGUUUUCUGCCGCUGCGCUGGGUUCGCUAAGCAGCUUUCCGCGCCCGGUUGGGAAGCAGCGGAGGGCCUCUUGCGCCUCUGAGCGCCUCCAGUGCAGAGAAGGUCACGAUGCGGCGUAGCCGGACCACGAUGUCCUUCAUCAGUAUGGAGAGAUCCCGAGAGCAGCUGGAUCUGGUGCCUUAUAUCGGGCCCUUCCUGGGCAGUGCCGUCAAGCGCCGUUUCUCGGGAACCCCGUUACUACCCCCUCUGGCCUCCCGGCACGCCGCCAGCGACCUCUGCCUUGGGCCGGAGCAGGAGCGAGGCAGGGUGGUUUUCACCAUCGAGGAGGCCCCCCCUGUCAGCGUUGCAGACCCCUGUACAAGGUAUGGAGUGCUAUUUCCAGCAAUAAUGAGGCGAUGGCGGCCAUAUUGUGUUAUAGGCUUGGAUGAUCCUGGACGUCCCCCUGUGUUGGUAUCCCUGGGCUGGCGGCUCUCUGCACUUGCUCAGAGACCACUGUAACAGUGCGGACUGAGCAGGGCGUCGCUUGUGAACUGAUGCACCAGCCCUGAACAUAAAGCAACAGCGGCUAAUCUUCCACACAGACUU